GAACUGAAGAGUUUGAUCAUGGCUCAGAUUGAACGCUGGCGGCAGGCCUAACACAUGCAAGUCGAGCGGAUGA
rnacentral:rRNA from 2 species